rnacentral:rRNA from 1 species
AGAUGGCGACCGGCGCACGGGUGAGUAACACGUAUCCAACCUGCCGAUAACUCGGGGAUAGCCUUUCGAAAGAAAGAUUAAUACCCGAUGGCAUAAUAGAACCGCAUGGUUUGAUUAUUAAAGAAUUUCGGUUAUCGAUGGGGAUGCGUUCCAUUAGGCAGUUGGUGGGGUAACGGCCCACCAAACCUUCGAUGGAUAGGGGUUCUGAGAGGAAGGUCCCCCACAUUGGAACUGAGGCACGGUCCAA